GAGUUUGAUCGUGGCUCAGAUUGAACGCUGGCGGCAUGCCUUACACAUGCAAGUCGAACGGCAGCAUGAUCUAGCUUGCUAGAUUGAUGGCGAGUGGCGAACGGGUGAGUAAUACAUCGGAACGUGCCCUGUAGUGGGGGAUAACUAGUCGAAAGAUUAGCUAAUACCGCAUACGACCUGAGGGUGAAAGUGGGGGACCGGCAAGGCCUCAUGCUAUAGGAGCGGCCGAUGUCUGAUUAGCUAGUUGGUGGGGUAAAGGCCCGACCAAGGCGACGAUCAGUAGCUGGUCUGAGAGGACGAUCAGCCACACUGGGACUGAGACACGGCCCAGACUCCUACGGGAGGCAGCAGUGGGGAAUUUUGGACAAUGGGCGAAAGCCUGAUCCAGCAAUGCCGCGUGUGUGAAGAA
rnacentral:rRNA from 1 species